AUUUCGUCGAAUCUACGAAUUUUCGUUUCGAAAAUAUACACAAAUAUAUAUAAUAAAAAAUAUGUAUAUCAUAUAUCACGCGUUUCGUAACACGCUGUCGUAUAACAGCAUCGCGCCAAGGUAAAGUCAAUAAAAAUCUUUAUCAUAGCGUUUGUUCAAUGUUUUCCGAAUCUACGCCGUCUUCGACCGUUUCCAUUCGUCGCUCGAACUUAUCAUAGAACUUGGCCCAGUUUUUCCUCAUAGCGCAACGUGGAUCGUUGGACGCUCUCUCUGUGCUAAAAGAGCGCGAAAAUUUAGGGGGGAAACGCACGCGUGAGCCGAGCGCACGCGUAAAUAGAGAGGCGCAAGGCGUAAUCGGUGCUCGUCUUCGAUUGGUUUGCCCUGGCUCUGGCUCUGGCUGGCCAGCCGGCCUACAAGCACGUGCCCCGAUUCGCUUCCAAGGUGAAUGACGACCGACCAGUUAUCGGACUUCGAGCCCAAGCAUUUUUUCGCUUCGUUGCGUUCGCUCUAUCAGCUAAUGCCACAGUAUUGGCAAUGCGGGUAUACGAGCCACUUCGAUCGAACUAUCUACGCACUACGUGGUAUUUGUUUUCAUUUCUCUACGCCGAGUCUGUCACGCGUAAAGUCGACGCGUACACCCAUUUCGUAUCUCGAAAGGAAGAAUCGCUUUUCGUGCGGCCAACACGCAAAAAACUUAUGGAUUAAUUUAAUACAUAGCAUAAGCUUUUUUCGCGUAUGACGUACGGAGGAAGGAAAACCGCAGAGAAAUAAACAAAACGUAUCUAUUUCCGGUAAAAGAAUCGUAAUUUCGAUCUUGACUGAUGAUUUUUUAAUUUAAAUUGAUGAGCAUCGAUGGAAUAAGAGGAAAUUUCGAAAAUAUAUGAUGAAAAGAACGAGAUAUCGAGAAACGAAUAAAUUGUAGGAAUAUUUUAUCAGGGAUGAUAUUAUAAAAGAAAUAAAUUCUGCUAAAGAAGUUGCGCUUAAGAGAUAUAAGAGGUAUGAGGCAAUCGUAACGAAUGUAUGCAGGUUAAUGAUAUACAAGGUGUUUUAUGCAUAGAUAUAUUUAAAACGAAUGAGAAAAAUGUCAUUAGAUGAAACGAAAUGAUACGAAAUGAUACGUUCAAUCUAUCUAAAAAUGAAAUAUCAUUUUUCCUUCUUAAAUAAAAUCUAUUUUGAUUAAAUAAAUUAUUCAAACUUUCUAUAUCUAUCAUAAAUAAAUAAAAUUACAAAUUGAAA